AACGAACGCUGGCGGCAGGCCUAACACAUGCAAGUCGAACGCUCCAGCAAUGGAGAGUGGCAGACGGGUGAGUAACGCGUGGGAACCUACCCUUUGGUUCGGAAUAGCUCAGGGAAACUUGAGGUAAUACCGGAUAAGCCCCUCGGGGGAAAGAUUUAUCGCCGAAGGAUGGGCCCGCGUCGGAUUAGCUAGUUGGUGGGGUAACGGCCUACCAAGGCGACGAUCCGUAGCUAGUCUGAGAGGAUGAUCAGCCACACUGGGACUGAGACACGGCCCAGACACCUACGGGAGGCAGCAGUGGGUAAUAUUGAACAAUGGGCCCAAGCCUGAUCCAGCCAUGCCGCGUGAGUGACGAAGGUCUUCGGAUUGUAAAGCUCUUUUGGCGGGGACGAUAAUGACGGUACCCGCAGAAUAAGCCCCGGCUAACUUCGUGCCAGCCGCCGCAGUAACAC
rnacentral:rRNA from 1 species